rnacentral:rRNA from 1 species
UGAGCAAUCUGCCCUUAACUCUGGGAUAAGCCUGGGAAACUGGGUCUAAUACCGGAUAUGACUCCUCAUCGCAUGGUGGGGGGUGGAAAGCUUUAUUGUGGUUUUGGAUGGACUCGCGGCCUAUCAGCUUGUUGGUGAGGUAAUGGCCCACCAAGGCGACGACGGGUAGCCGGCCUGAGAGGGUGACCGGCCACACUGGGACUGAGACACGGCCCAGACUCCGUACGGGAGCAG